AAAUUGAAGAGUUUGAUCAUGGCUCAGAUUGAACGCUGGCGGCAGGCCUAACACAUGCAAGUCGAACGGUAACAGGAAGAAGCUUGCUUCUUUGCUGACGAGUGGCGGACGGGUGAGUAAUGUCUGGGAAACUGCCUGAUGGAGGGGGAUAACUACUGGAAACGGUAGCUAAUACCGCAUAACGUCGCAAGACCAAAGAGGGGGACCUUCGGGCCUCUUGCCAUCGGAUGUGCCCAGAUGGGAUUAGCUAGUAG
rnacentral:rRNA from 1 species